CAAUUAAGGGUUUCAUAAGUAAUUGAAUUGCCAGAUGCCACUGGACUACUGGAGUGGGCCGAGUGGCUAUCAAAGUAUCAAAUUAUACGGAUGAAUUAGUCGAAAUGGGUCGCCAGAAAAGAAGAAAUUCUGGACACAAAUUGUCGGAAAAAAGAUAUUUGCCACCGGAUUUAUGGAGAGUGGUGUUAGCGAGAUCGUCGGCGAAACCCCUACUAAAAUUCAGAUAAGUAUGAAAUGUUCUAUCAAAGAGAAAACUCAGCUGUGCUUGUAUAGUUUGGAUUGGGCGGUUUUGAAAAUUAGUAGAUGCUCAAGCUGCAUGCUGACAGACGCGUUGCUCCUUUUGGUUUCUUUUGCAAAUUGCCAAGGCAACAGGGGAUGUUUUUCUUCUUCAAGUAUGGUUUUAUGGACAACAAAAUGAUGAUAAUUAAGAGUGCAUUUAGUCUGACAAAAUGAGACGCUGGAAAUGGAAGAACUACAAGUUGUCGGAGGACAAAGACUUACCACCGGAGAAGUUAUGGACGGAGGUCUUAGCAAGGCUGCCGGCGAAAACCCUCUUGACGUACAGGUGUGUUUCUAAAGCCUGGAACAUUAAUCAAUUCUCCUGAUUUUAUUUCAAUGCAUCUUAAACUUUACAACAAUAGCGACGUAACUCGUGUAGUAAUUAUUAGCCAAGGGAAGGUUCACCAAACGUUAUACAUGCACUUUCACUCUUCGUUUUAGCGACACUUUCAGGAAGAUUGGUGACCUCCACACCACUCGCAAUUUCUACAGGCUUAUCGGAAGCUGUAAUGGGUUGUUAUUAUUGUGUGACUCGUCUAAUGAAGAGAAAACAUGCUAAGAUUGUGGAACCCGUCUAUUAGAAAAAGGUGGUUGGAUUUGACACUGUUGGUUUUAAGGUGACAAACGUGUUCCCCGUUGCAGUUUAUUCGCUCAGCGACAACCGUUGGAGGGUUAAGAACAUCAAUUUGGUGAAUCUCCCUGUUGGUGUUGAUAUGUUGUUACACAGAGGAAGGUAUGUUUUGAAAGCAAUGUAUAUUUUGUGAGCUCCCAGUGUUGUGAACUGAGAAUAGUAUUGUUGAUUGAUUAGUCGGAACUAAUCAUUCGUUGCUUAAUGGUAACUUGGGUUUUAAUUUGUUGUUCGAUUGCUAAACUUAUAUUGUUCAUUUUGGCAUUAAUAGAUUGUUAUACCUAUUACGUUUAC